rnacentral:rRNA from 1 species
GUCUAUAGUCUUGCCACCCUAAACACACCUAAUCUCGUCUGAUCUUGGAAGCUAAGCAGGGUUGGGCCUGGUUAGUACUUGGAUGGAAGACCACCUAGGAAUACCGUGUGCUGUAGGUU